GUAUUGGUGGUUCAGUGGUAGAAUUCUUACCUUCCAUGAGGGAGGCCCAGGCUCACUUCCUGGCCAGUUCA
rnacentral:tRNA from 1 species